GAGAGACUCCACCGCCUGGCCGGUCUGUCUUUCCUAAAAAGAACAGAGCCAUCCACGACAGCACUCCAGUCGUGCGAGCUGCCCUGCCAGGUCUCCACGAUGGGAACCUAAAUCGUGCUCCUGCAGUUACACGGGAAGGAAGAGGCGGGAAAAAAAAAACCACGGUCCCAACCUGCUCGCUCCCACCGCUGGAAACGGGAUGGGUGAGAGCACCCGCAAAACACUCCGCAGUGGCCGAGGCCACCCGGGAUCGUGCUCGGUCUCGGGCGGAGGCCCCGUGCCGGUCCUACUAAAAAGCCACACGGGAGCCCAGCGGCGGCGCCGUGCCGAUCCCAAAGACAGAGGCAGUCGAGCAGCAACCCUACAGGAGCCCCAACACGAGAGAUCUUACCGAGCGACUCUCAAACACUCACCGCUUCCACGAGCUCACUGCUUCGGGCCGAUGAGAGCCUCUGCUGCAGCCCUCGCUCAGCCUGCAACACGAGAAACCUUUUGUUUCAACAACCCUUCGCUUCGCUUCCCUCUCCCGGCAGCACAGAGGCUGCACGAAUACGGCCCCAUCGCGUUCGCUCCUACCGAGGAGAGCCUGAAGAACUGAAGCACCCGCUGAAAGAAAUCCCGAGGAUGGGGGGGGCUGAGAGCACCCCGGGGCUGCGCGAGAACUCGGGGGUCUGAGCGGCAGCCGCCUCCAAGAAUGCGACGGCGGCCGGGCGACGGCGGCGAUGCCGUAUCGGCUCCGCACAGCCGGGGGAGCCCGGCGGCGACCUAACGCCGGCCCGAGAAGAGCGGGGUCCGACAGCCGCCUGCUCCGGAGAUCCUGGCGGCUCCCGAGCGCUCACCGUCCCCUUACUACUCGAACCGCUCACCUGUUUGGGCUGGUCCUUACCGCGAAAGGUCUCACAGCAGCCUGAAACAAAACGACACCACGAGAACAUUAAAGAGAACCUCAAGGCUCCGUCCCCCCCCAAAAAACCCCGCGUACCGCUUCUCAGCCUCAGCAGCGUCAGGGCCCGACAAAGAAACAGAACUCACUCCGUCUCCUAUCCACAACCGCAGAAACUCCUCCGUGGCUCCCGGCAGCCUCCGGAGGAGCUUAAGAGGCUUUGGGGCGGGCCCCGCCCGCGGCUCCCGACGAGGCGCAGCUGCGCCCGGCCGGCCGCGGCCCCGCGGCACCUGGGAGUCGUUGCCUCCUUAGCGCAGCCGGCCUCGUUAGGGACGGCCCGGGGCUCUGACAGUUUGACGUGCGGACUCCGGAUCUGAAUUAGGGACUUAAAUUACACUUUGAAGUACAGUUUGUUACGCGCUUCUCCUUCUCGCCGCACUGUGGGAUUCAUCGAUAAGUUAAGUAAUUGUGCCAAUUCAAACGGGUCGCUUUGCAUCCGACGCGACCGGCGCGAUAGAGCGUCUCCCCUCCGAAGAACGUUCCCGGCCUUAACGGUUUCCAGGGGCCCCCGAUGGGUGCGUCUCCGCUCCGCUUUCCAUCGCCCCAAUUCCGAACAAAAGAAAAAGGAAAAAAAAAAUAAAUUAAUUAAUAAGAAAAAUAAGUCUUGUUGGAACAAACGUGCAGACCUUCACUGCUCAGGGGGACUACAAACCAAAGUAAAACUAGGGGCCGGCAAAAACAUGGUGCUCCACAGUCUUAAUUUAAUAAAACCUCCUGAAACAGUGUGAAAUUCAGAAGCCUGUGGUCGGGCUGAAGCGUGGUGUGCUGGCUGGCAGAUGUUUGGAAAGGUGCUAAGAUGUAACUCUUACUGUCCAUAGAAUUUGCUGUUAACCACUUGCAAGAUACAAAGUGACGGCCAGCUGGAUGAAUAGGAGAAUGUAUGUGAACACCCGGAACUGACAGACCCGGGACAGUGCAUGUGGCUUGAAGUGGGCACUGAGAGAAAGCUCAGACAAUGUAUAUACAUGCUUUUAACAUUCAAAUUAAUUUCCAUCGGGACACGACUUAAUUAAGGAGCUGCUGCAGAAGGAAGAAGAAGAAGCGGCGUGGGGACCUGGGAGGCAGGAGCAAGCAAGAAGAGGAAGCGGAAGCGUGCAGAUGCGGGGGGGAAGGAGAGAGGCUCCCUGGGCAAAGCACCUGUCCCGUUAGCAGGGGCACAGUCACGUUUGAGUUGAGAGCUGCCGGCGCCUUUGGUGACCAGGCUGGCGUUGUGCUGGGCGACCUCCCCGUAAGCGGGGCUCGGGUCUUUGCUGUAGUUGGCCUUUUGCCUUGCUGCUCCUUUGGCUGCCUGGGGAGCGUGGCCCCCUGUAACGGAGGGCGAGAGCCACCUCUCCGCACCUGAGUGGGAAAUGGAGCUCGCCGGACCCCAAGGCCACCCUGUAAGCAGGGUAGUGCCGUUUCCCUGCCCCUCUUCCUCCCCCGGCCCCUCGGCAUCGUUGCCUGAUGGUGGCUUGUCAAUGCGACGGCCCCGUACUCGGGGUGUGCGUCACGGCAUUUGGCCGUUGGCUUUAUCUGAGAAGCCCCUUGGCACGUUGAGGUCUGUGGCCUCCGUGCAGCCUAGGGACAGGUCACAGGCUCUUGUCUGUUGCCCGUGGUUGUGGGUUUAUUCCCAGGUGUUGGCUGUGCUGCGUUGUCCUUCCCUUCUGGAAAGUCGUGCCUGUGUGUGCGUGUUCCCCUUCCUUUCCUUGUUUGUGUUUGUGGAGUGGUUGAGCGGCUGUGCUUUCCCUUUAGGCCUCCACAAAGAUGGCUGCAGCUUAGCUUUGACUUCCCAGGGGGGAAUGGAGGACUUUGGUGCAUGCCGCAAAAGGGGUGUUCCCUCUUAGUCCUGCGAGCGCAGCGAGUGUCCUGUCUUCCUACUAUUUUCCUUAGUGCAGAUCAGAGCCACACGGUAGUUCUGUGGCCAAGGCCUCCCUGUAGCCAGGGCUUGGGCCUGUCCUUGCGUGGCCGCCUGUCCUGCUGGCGGCGGUGACAGCCCCGUACUCGGGGUGUGUGUCCCAAGCUUCGGAGCCCUCUGUCCCUGAGCAGCCCGCCCGCCCUGUAAUCAGGUGUGGGGAGGCUGCAGCGUUGCAGCCGGCUGCUUUAGCCAUCCAGCUGGUGGGAGUGACCCCUCCCUGUCCCGUCAGAGGGUGCAGGUUGAGGUGCUGUUUGUGUGUGGGGUGACCUCCCCGCUCGGUGGGUCGAGGUAGCUCCCUGGGCUUCCAAAGACGAGACGUUGGUGAUGUUCUGCUGCUGCCGGGCGGGCCAGCCUGUAACUCAGGCGUUGGCGGGAGCCUCGUGCUCCGCGGGGCUUCUUGAAGAGGGUGAGGUGUGGGGGUACCGUCCUGUAGGCAGGGCUGUGUGUGCCCCCCGUGUGUGCUUGGUGAGCUGCGUUCUGAGAGACCCCCUGUACUCAGGUGGGAAUGUGGCCCCGGCCUUUCAGAGGCGCGGGGCCGUGAGAUGCGGGGUGGGGCUUGCGCCCUCCCUGGAAUCGGGGCUGGGAUCCCGACUGCGGCCUUUGGCCGUGCCGCCCCGCUGCCUGGCUGCUGAGAGUUGCUCCUGCCGCUGGGGGGAAACCGAGCUCUGUGGCUCCAGGGGUGUUGUCCACCCGCCUGUAAUCAGGGUCUGGGUGCGUGAGCGUUUGUGCUCUGCUGGCAGCCUGUGUGGGGUGACCGCCCCGCUAGCGGGGUGUGGGUCGAGGUGCCCCGGACUGGGAGAGAAGGAGCCUCCCUCGGCCGUAGGGAUGGG
rnacentral:lncRNA from 1 species